rnacentral:rRNA from 1 species
CUGUCCUUAGUACGAGAGGACCGGGAUGGACAUACCUCUGGUGUACCAGUUGUCGUGCCAACGGCAUAGCUGGGUAGCUAUGUGUGGACGGGAUAAGUGCUGAAAGCAUCUAAGCAUGAAGCCCCCCUCAAGAUGAGAUUUCCCAACUUCGGUUAUAAGAUCCCUCAAAGAUGAUGAGGUUAAUAGGUUCGAGGUGGAAGCAUGGUGACAUGUGGAGCUGACGAAUACUAAUCGAUCGAAGACUUAAU